UACAGAGGUCUCAAGCGUUGUUCGGAUUCAUUGGGCGUAAAGGGUGCGUAGGUGGCGGGGUAAGUCAGGUGUGAAAUUUCGGAGCUUAACUCCGAAACUGCAUUUGAUACUGCCUUGCUUGAGGACUGGAGAGGAGACUGGAAUUCACGGUGUAGCAGUGAAAUGCGUAGAGAUCGUGAGGAAGACCAGUGGCGAAGGCGGGUCUCUGGACAGUUCCUGACACUGAGGCACGGAAAGCUAGGGAGCAAACGGG
rnacentral:rRNA from 1 species